rnacentral:rRNA from 1 species
AGUAACGCGUGAGGAACCUGCCUCAAAGAGGGGGACGAACAGUUGGAAACGACUGCUAAUACCGCAUAAGCCCACGGUGCCGCAUGGCACAGAGGGAAAAGGAGCAAUCCGCUUUGAGAUGGCCUCGCGUCCGAUUAGCUAGUUGGUGAGGUAACGGCCCACCAAGGCAACGAUGCAUAGCCGGCCUGAGAGGUUGAACGGCCACAUUGGGACUGAGACACGGCCCAGACUCCUACGGGAGGCAGCAUG